UGGGAAUAAACACGGGUUAAUAAACACGUCUCCCUCCCCUCUGCCUCCUUCCCCCUUUCCCUCCCCAGGCAUGACCCGACUUGCUGAGGAUAUCCAGCAUUUCCAGUUUUUCCGAGCGGUAGAAAGUUGGAGAAUAGGGCUUCGAGCCCGCAGGAUACAACGUGCCCAGACCUGACACCCGCUCAGCGAGGAGGUGCGGUGGGACACGGUGACGAGAUGGACCCCUGGACAUCUGGGGCCAUCAAGGUGAGGAAGUCGAGUUGUGCUGACACAGCUCUGUGAGCUGACCCUGAGCACAGGACAAGCAGACGAGGUUGUUCCAUUACCGACAGACAUCAGGAUCGUGUCAGAACGGGUGGGUAAAGAGUUAAUGUGAUUCUGGAACGGUGACAGUGGAUGUUUGAGGAUAAUUAAGAAACAACUACCUAUACGGAAAAAGGGUGGCAAGGAGUCCGAAUAUUUCUGGAAGACAUCCAGAGAAAUGUGUAAAAAGUUGCCUAACAGGACAAUCGACAGACACAACUCUCGAGAAGAACCGUCAGAGAAUGAAGCUGGAGUUCGGGGACACAGAGAAGAUCUCACCAAGUCGGACCCUGGCCGGGUUCAUCGAGAGCGGCUCAUAUCUAAAUCCAGCUGACCCACCAUGUCGCUCUCCGGAGACCGGUCCAACUCCACCCCCGGUGGGAACCUCUCCUCCAGCGAUCCCACCCCCGGGGACCUCAGCAUCCCGUGGACAGCGCCCACCGUCUUGUCCGUGAUCAUCUGCACCCUCAUCUUCCUGCUGGGCGUCCCCGGCAACGGAGCGGUCGUCUGGGUGACGGGCUUCAAGUUGAAGAGGGGCGUCCACACGGUGUGUUUCCCGAACCUGGCUGUGGCGGACCUGACCUACUGCCUCAUCCUGCCCUUCCUGGUGGCCUUACUCUUUCUGCAAGGACUCUGGCACCUAGACCACCUCCUCUGGAUGGUCCUCCUCUCCGCCGUCACACUCAACAUGACGGCCAGCAUCUUCCUCUUGACCCUGAUCAGCAUCUCUCGCUGCCUGGCCGUCACUCGGCCCAUCUGGUUCCGCCAACACCUGCCCCUGGCUUGGGUGCGUACAGCCUGCUUCGGGAUCUGGAGCCUGGCCUUCCUCACCUGCCUGCCCGACUUGCUGAUUGAGCAGAUUGUCUCGUAUCUCGGGGACGACACCGGGGUCACGUUGAAGGUAACUUGGACCGUCCUCACCUUCGGCCUCCCCGUGGCGAUCAUGGUCGCCUGCUACCUCCUGGUUUGCCGGGAGCUGCGGAGGGACCGCUUCGCCAAGUCCAGGAAGCCCGUCCGCCUCAUCGUGACCGUGGUGGCGGCCUUUAUCGUCUGCUGGCUCCCCAACAAUAUCUGCAGCCUUCUCCAGGCCUUCGCCCAGCCCGUUCCCUGGGACUGGAUGUUCUUCAGCUUCGGCUUGGCCUCGUUCAACAGCGCCCUCAACCCCCUUCUCUACGCCUUCGUCGGCCGCGACUUCCGCCAGGUCUUCAGGCGCUCCCUGGCCGCCUCCAUCCGCCUGGCCUUCGAUGAGGAGGAGGUCGGAGUUGGGAGCAUCCCUCCCGACCCCACCGUCACCACAGCGAUGAAUGUAAGAGGAUCUGAUCCGGGGCGGUCCAGGGAUUUAUAUAAAGAGUAACAGACCCCCGGGGAUGGAUUACAGGCUGGAAUCUGAUCCAGGGGUUCGGGGGGAGGUGGGUGGUUAUGUAUCGAAUAACAGGUCCCCAGGAGUGGGUUACAGGCUGGGGUCUGAUCCAGGGGUUCGGAGGGUUUAUAUAUAGAAUAACAGACCCCCGGGAGUGGGUUACAGGCUGGGGUCUGAUCCAGGGGUUCGGGGGGGUUUAUAUAUAGAAUAACAGACCCCCGGGAGUGGGUUACAGGCUGGGGUCUGAUCCAGGGGUUCGGAGGGUUUAUAUAUAGAAUAACAGACCCCCGGGUGUGGGUUACAGGCUGGGGUCUGAUCCAGGGGUUCGGGGGGUUUAUAUAUAGAAUAACAGGUCCCCGGGAGUGGGUUACAGGCUGGGAUCUGAUCCAGGGGUUCGGGGGGUUAUAUAUAGAAUAACAGAUCCCCGGGAGUGGGUUACAGGCUGGGAUCUGAUCCAGGGGUUCGGGGGGUUAUAUAUAGAAUAACAGGUCCCCGGGAGUGGGUUACAGGCUGUGGUCUGAUCCAGGGGUUCGGAGGGUUUAUAUAUAGAAUAACAGAUCCCCGGGAGUGGGUUACAGGCUGUGGUCUGAUCCAGGGGUUCGGGGGGUUUAUAUAUAGAAUAACAGACCCCCGGGUGUGGGUUACAGGCUGGGGUCUGAUCCAGGGGUUCGGGGGGUUUAUAUAUAGAAUAACAGACCCCCGGGAGUGGGUUACAGGCUGGGGUCUGAUCCAGGGGUUCCGAGGGUUUAUAUAUAGAAUAACAGACCCCCGGGAGUGGGUUACAGGCUGGGAUCUGAUCCAGGGGUUCGGGGGGUUUAUAUAUAGAAUAACAGACCCCCGGGAGUGGGUUACAGGCUGGGAUCUGAUCCAGGGGUUCGGAGGGUUUAUAUAUAGAAUAACAGAUCCCCGGGAGUGGGUUACAGGCUGUGGUCUGAUCCAGGGGUUCGGAGGGUUUAUAUAUAGAAUAACAGGUCCCCGGGAGUGGGUUACAGGCUGGGAUCUGAUCCAGGGGUUCGGGGGGUUUAUAUAUAGAAUAACAGAUCCCCGGGAGUGGGUUACAGGCUGGGGUCUGAUCCAGGGGCUUGGGGGGUUUAUAUAUAGAAUAACAGAUCCCCGGGAGUGGGUUACAGACAACAUGAGGAUCUAAGGAUCUUCUGAGGGUACAUCCGUGCCCUGGAGAGGGAGCACACUUUGUCUACGGGGUACAUUGGGAGCUUUCCUGGAUCGGUGGGCGACUCAGGGGCUCGACUGCAUCCUCGACAGCGAGGAUCAUAUUUUGACCUCAAGUUAUUGCCAGACUGUAAAUAAAGAUCCUGUUUUAACGAAACCGUGGGGGACACUGGGGAAGGUGCAGAGCUUGGGGAUUCUCUGCCAUUGAACACAACUUUCAUUUGUGUUAAAACUCAUGAUCGACUUAUUUUAAGUUUGUAAAUCUGUUAUUGUUAAUCAUAGAUUGGAGUAACAUUACUUGUUAGGAAAACGUAGACUUAAAUAUUGUCUAUUUAUAGAUUUUGUAAUUGUUAUCAAUUAAAUAUAUUUGAUAUAAAAGAACAUGUUAGACACAGGGUGAAGCUCCCUCCGCACCGUCCCGUCACACACUCCCGGGGUCAGACACAGGGUGAGGCUCCCAAUGCACCGUCCCGUCACACACUCCCGGGGUCAGGCACAGGGUGAGGCUCCCUCCGCACCGUCCCGUCACACACUCCCGGGGUCAGGCACAGGGUGAGGCUCCCUCCGCACCGUCCCGUCACACACUCCCGGGGUCAGGCACAGGGUGAGGCUCCCUCCGCACCGUCCCGUCACACACUCCCGGGGUCAGGCACAGGGUGAGGCUCCCUCCGCACCGUCCCGUCACACACUCCCGGGGUCAGGCACAGGGUGAGGCUCCCUCCGCACCGUCCCGUCACACACUCCCGGGGUCAGGCACAGGGUGAGGCUCCCUCCGCACCGUCCCGUCACACACUCCCGGGGUCAGGCACAGGGUGAGGCUCCCCCCGCACCGUCCCGUCACACACUCCCGGGGUCAGGCACAGGGUGAGGCUCCCUCCGCACCGUCCCGUCACACACUCCCGGGGUCAGGCACAGGGUGAGGCUCCCUCCGCACCGUCCCGUCACACACUCCCGGGGUCAGGCACAGGGUGAGGCUCCCUCCGCACCGUCCCGUCACACACUCCCGGGGUCAGGCACAGGGUGAGGCUCCCUCCGCACCGUCCCGUCACACACUCCCGGGGUCAGGCACAGGGUGAGGCUCCCUCCGCACCGUCCCGUCACACACUCCCGGGGUCAGGCACAGGGUGAGGCUCCCUCCGCACCGUCCCGUCACACACUCCCGGGUUCAGACACAGGGUGAAGCUCCCAGGACACUGUUGGAAUUGGGAGACAACCAAUUAAAGCUCUGGCCUACAACUGUCAAUCAUGAGGCCGUGCCCCCUGUCACCUUGGUAACCUCUUGUAUUUGCCCAACAUCCCUUUACGACACGCCCACUGACGUCAUCUUAGCUCCUCCUGUGAUAGGAUACCGCGCCCACCCCAGGACUCUCUGCAAUGGAGAAGCUCUCGUCAAUCAAUGGAUGGUCUGCCCCCAAUAUAAGCCCCACCCCUGACAGUAGGCCACGCCCAUUAUCCUUCCUGCCCCCAACAGUGGAUCACUCCGCCAAGUCACUUGACAUGGGAGAUCUUAGUGACAUGGUGUCACGACAACAACCUUUCCCUCAAUGUCAGCAAAACAAAAGAGCUGGUCAUUGACUUCAGGAAAGGGGGUGGUGUACAUGCUCCUGUCUACAUCAAUGGUGCUGAGGUCGAGAGGGUUAAGAGCUUCAAGUUCCCGGGAGUGAACAUCACCAACAGCCUGUCCUGGUCAAAUCACGUAGACCCCAUGGCCAAGAAAGCUCACCAGCGCCUCUACUUCCUCAGGAGGCUAAAGAAAUUCGGUUUGUCCCCUUUGACCCUCACCAACUUUACCGAUGCCACCAUAGAAAGCAUCCUAUCCGGAUGCAUCACGGCUCGGUACGGCAACUGCUCUGCCCUGGACCGCAAGGAACUGCAGAGAGUUGUGGACACAGCCCAGCAUGUCACGGACACCAGCCUCCCCUCCUUGGACUCUGUCUUUGCCUCUCGUUGUCUUGGUGAAGCAGCCGGCAUAAUCAAAGACCCCACCCACCCGGGUCAUUCUCUCUUCUCUCCUCUUCCAUCAGGGUAGAAGAUACAGGAGCCUGAGGGCACGUACCACUAGGCUCAAGGACAGCUUCUACCCCACUGUGAUAAGACUACUGAACGGUUCCCUUAUACAAUGAGAUGGACUCUGACCUCACGAUCUACCUAGUUGUGACCUUGCAUCUUAUUGCACUGCACUUUCUCUGUAGCUGUGACA